AGUGGUGGAUCUGUGUGACCCAUUUUGUAGAUAUUUUGUUCGUUGACUGUGACUUGAGUGAGGUAUCAUCGAAAGCGACUUGUGCAAGGAAGAAUAAGUUUCAAACUUCAAAGGUAGCAAUCAUUUUUUGCAACCAAUGCCAUCUCCUUCGUGGGCUAGGGUUCUUCUGUAUUGGGCUUGAGCCGUUUUUAGAUUUUCCAGUCUUAAAAUUUCAGUUUUUAUUUUUGCCCAUGUAUUGUUGGGAGUUGGGACUAUGGCCUUUUGUUUGUAUAACCGAAAGAACAAAAUACUGCUACAAAUAUGAAAAUAAAUACAAUAUUUCCAUGCGUGAUUUUGUAUUUUAUGUGAUAACAUUCUUGCUAGCCGAUUUGGCUAGCUUUUGGACUAAUGUCAUUGUCUACUUCUGA